GACGAACGCUGGCGGCGUGCCUAACACAUGCAAGUCGAGCGAUGAAGUUUCCUUCGGGAAACGGAUUAGCGGCGGACGGGUGAGUAACACGUGGGUAACCUGCCUUGUAGAGGGGGAUAGCCUUCCGAAAGGAAGAUUAAUACCGCAUAAUAUUGUAGUAUCGCAUGGUACAACAAUCAAAAGAGCAAUCUGCUACAAGAUGGACCCGCGGCGCAUUAGCUAGUUGGUAAGGUAAUGGCUUACCAAGGCGACGAUGCGUAGCCGACCUGAGAGGGUGAUCGGCCACAUUGGGACUGAGACACGGCCCAGACUCCUACGGGAGGCAGCAGUGGGGAAUAUUGCACAAUGGGGGAAACCCUGAUGCAGCAACGCCGCGUGAGUGAUGACGGUCUUCGGAUUGUAAAGCUCUGUCUUUGGGGACGAUAAUGACGGUACCCAAGGAGGAAGCCACGGCUAACUACGUGCCAGCCGCCGCCGUAAUAC
rnacentral:rRNA from 1 species